rnacentral:pre_miRNA from 8 species
UUUCAUGCUGUGACCCUACAAAGGGAAGCCCUUUCUGUUGUCUAAACUAAAAGAAAGUGCUUCUCUUUGCUGGGUUACGGUUUGAGA